AUUGAACGCUGGCGGAAUGCUUUACACAUGCAAGUCGAACGGCAGCACGGGGCAACCUGGUGGCGAGUGGCGAACGGGUGAGUAAUACAUCGGAACGUGCCCAAUCGUGGGGGAUAACGUAGCGAAAGUUACGCUAAUACCGCAUACGAUCUACGGAUGAAAGCGGGGGAUCGCAAGACCUCGCGCGAGUGGAGCGGCCGAUGUCAGAUUAGGUAGUUGGUGGGGUAAAGGCUCACCAAGCCAACGAUCUGUAGCUGGUCUGAGAGGACGACCAGCCACACUGGAACUGAGACACGGUCCAGACUCCUACGGGAGGCAGCAGUGGGGAAUUUUGGACAAUGGGCGCAAGCCUGAUCCAGCAAUGCCGCGUGCAGGAUGAAGGCCUUCGGGUUGUAAACUGCUUUGUACGGAACGAAAGGCUCUGGUUAAUACCUGGGGCUCAUGACGGUACCGUAAGAAUAAGCACCGGCUAACUACGUGCCAGCAGCCGCGGUAAAACCG
rnacentral:rRNA from 1 species